AUUGAACGCUGGCGGCAUGCCUUACACAUGCAAGUCGAACGGUAACAGGUUAAGCUGACGAGUGGCGAACGGGUGAGUAAUGUAUCGGAACGUGCCCAGUCGUGGGGGAUAACUGCUCGAAAGAGCAGCUAAUACCGCAUACGACCUGAGGGUGAAAGCGGGGGAUCGCAAGACCUCGCGCGAUUGGAGCGGCCGAUAUCAGAUUAGGUAGUUGGUGGGGUAAAGGCCUACCAAGCCUACGAUCUGUAGCUGGUCUGAGAGGACGACCAACCACACUGGGACUGAGACACGGCCCAGACUCCUACGGGAGGCAGCAGUGGGGAAUUUUGGACAAUGGACGCAAGUCUGAUCCAGCCAUGCCGCGUGCGGGAAGAAGGCCUUCGGGUUGUAAACCGCUUUUGUCAGGGAAGAAAAGGCUUCUGCUAAUACCGGAGGCUCAUGACGGUACCUGAAGAAUAAGCACCGGCUAACUACGUGCCAGCCGCCGCAGUAACAC
rnacentral:rRNA from 1 species